UUUAAUGAACAAUCGAGAUUCGUUUACUUAAGGAUUCAUUUAAAAACGUUUACGGACGAAACACCGCUGAUACUUUGAAUGUACUGUGUAUCUGGUCAAAUGAGAUUCCAGAGACGUGAAAGAAAGAUUCAUACACAGUAAAUCAAAGCCGUAACCCUCGGAUUCAAAUGCUCUUUGUCAGCAAUCAGCCGCCCUGCCAACCGAUCGGAUGAGAGGAAAUCCACUGC